rnacentral:misc_RNA from 1 species
AAAAUAUCUUGAUAUGUAGCGCUUAGCAUAAUUUUUUUUAUGCAAGGCAUGUCAUAUUAAGGAUGUUGAGUGUUAUUUUGCCAGCCUGAGGCUGUCAAUGACUCGUAAAUGAUUGUAUGUGACGCUGCAAUAGUAUUUUGUGUGCAGAUUAAGUGCAACAGAGUAUAUCUAUUCACUUAGACCGCGUGCAUAUUUGCUAGUGCCGAAGCAUAUUUCCAAACAUACCAGUAAUUAUGCUGUGGUAUAAUUGCUGAUAA